GACGAACGCUGGCGGCGUGCUUAACACAUGCAAGUCGAACGGAAAGGCCCUGCUUUUGUGGGGUGCUCGAGUGGCGAACGGGUGAGUAACACGUGAGUAACCUGCCCUUGACUUUGGGAUAACUUCAGGAAACUGGGGCUAAUACCGGAUAGGAGCUCCUGCUGCAUGGUGGGGGUUGGAAAGUUUCGGCGGUUGGGGAUGGACUCGCGGCUUAUCAGCUUGUUGGUGGGGUAGUGGCUUACCAAGGCUUUGACGGGUAGCCGGCCUGAGAGGGUGACCGGCCACAUUGGGACUGAGAUACGGCCCAGACUCCUACGGGAGGCAGCAGUGGGGAAUAUUGCACAAUGGGCGGAAGCCUGAUGCAGCAACGCCGCGUGCGGGAUGACGGCCUUCGGGUUGUAAACCGCUUUCGCCUGUGACGAAGCGUGAGUGAUGGUAAUGGGUAAAGAAGCACCGGCUAACUACGUGCCAGCAGCCGCGGUGAUACGUAGGGUGCGAGCGUUGUCCGGAUUUAUUGGGCGUAAAGGGCUCGUAGGUGGUUGAUCGCGUCGGAAGUGUAAUCUUGGGGCUUAACCCUGAGCGUGCUUUCGAUACGGGUUGACUUGAGGAAGGUAGGGGAGAAUGGAAUUCCUGGUGGAGCGGUGGAAUGCGCAGAUAUCAGGAGGAACACCAGUGGCGAAGGCGGUUCUCUGGGCCUUUCCUGACGCUGAGGAGCGAAAGCGUGGGGAGCGAACAGGCUUAGAUACCCUGGUAGUCCACGCUGUAAACGGUGGGUACUAGGUGUGGGGUCCAUUCCACGGGUUCCGUGCCGUAGCUAACGCUUUAAGUACCCCGCCUGGGGAGUACGGCCGCAAGGCUAAAACUCAAAGGAAUUGACGGGGCCCCGCACAAGCGGCGGAGCAUGCGGAUUAAUUCGAUGCAACGCGUAGAACCUUACCUGGGUUUGACAUGGAUCGGGAGUGCUCAGAGAUGGGUGUGCCUCUUUUGGGGUCGGUUCACAGGUGGUGCAUGGCUGUCGUCAGCUCGUGUCGUGAGAUGUUGGGUUAAGUCCCGCAACGAGCGCAACCCUUGUUCACUGUUGCCAGCACGUUAUGGUGGGGACUCAGUGGAGACCGCCGGGGUCAACUCGGAGGAAGGUGGGGAUGACGUCAAGUCAUCAUGCCCCUUAUGUCCAGGGCUUCACGCAUGCUACAAUGGCUGGUACAGAGAGUGGCGAGCCUGUGAGGGUGAGCGAAUCUCGGAAAGCCGGUCUCAGUUCGGAUUGGGGCCUGCAACUCGACCUCAUGAAGUCGGAGUCGCUAGUAAUCGCAGAUCAGCAACGCUGCGGUGAAUACGUUCCCGGGGCU
rnacentral:rRNA from 1 species